CCUGAUGACCAUAGCGAGGUGGUCCCACUCCUUCCCAUCCCGAACAGGACAGUGAAACGCCUCUGCGCCGAUGAUAGUACGGAUCCCCGUGUGAAAGUAGGACAUCGUCAGGC
rnacentral:rRNA from 1 species